GGGUGCGAUCAUAAUAGCGCUAAUGCUCCGGAUCCCAUCAGAACUCCGUAGUUAAGCAUGCUCGGGCGAGAGUAGUACUAGUAUGGGUGACCUCCUGGGAAGUCCUCGUGUUACACCCC
rnacentral:rRNA from 1 species